UACGUAGGGUGCGAGCGUUGUCCGGAAUUAUUGGGCGUAAAGGGCUCGUAGGCGGUUUGUCGCGUCGGGAGUGAAAACUCAGGGCUUAACCCUGAGCCUGCUUCCGAUACGGGCAGACUAGAGGUAUGCAGGGGGGAACGGAAUUCCUGGUGUAGCGGUGAAAUGCGCAGAUAUCAGGAGGAACACCGGUGGCGAAGGCGGUUCUCUGGGCAUUACCUGACGCUGAGGAGCGAAAGUGUGGGGAGCGAACAGG
rnacentral:rRNA from 1 species